AGGGUUCGAUUCUGGCUCAGGAUGAACGCUGGCGGCGUGCUUAACACAUGCAAGUCGAACGGACUUUACAUGAAGCCUAGCGAAUGUAAAGUUAGUGGCGGACGGGUGAGUAACGCGUGGGUAACCUGCCGUAUACCGGGGGAUAACACUUAGAAAUAGGUGCUAAUACCGCAUAAGCGCACGUGAUCGCAUGAUCGAGUGUGAAAAACUCCGGUGGUAUACGAUGGACCCGCGUCUGAUUAGAUAGUUGGUGAGGUAACGGCUCACCAAGUCGACGAUCAGUAGCCGGCCUGAGAGGGUGAACGGCCACAUUGGGACUGAGACACGGCCCAAACUCCUACGGGAGGCAGCAGUGGGGAAUAUUGGACAAUGGGGGAAACCCUGAAUCCAGCGACGCCGCGUGAGUGAAGAAGUAUUUCGGUAUGUAAAGCUCUAUCAGCAGGGAAGAAAAUGACGGUACCUGACUAAGAAGCCCCGGCUAACUACGUGCCAGCCGCCGC
rnacentral:rRNA from 1 species